rnacentral:rRNA from 1 species
GCGGCGUGCCUAAUACAUGCAAGUCGAGCGAACGGAUAAGGAGCUUGCUCCUUUGAAGUUAGCGGCGGACGGGUGAGUAACACGUGGGUAACCUACCUAUAAGACUGGGAUAACUUCGGGAAACCGGAGCUAAUACCGGAUAACAUUUAGAACCGCAUGGUUCUAAAGUGAAAGAUGGUUUUGCUAUCACUUAUAGAUGGACCCGCGCCGUAUUAGCUAGUUGGUAAGGUAACGGCUUACCAAGGCGACGAUACGUAGCCGACCUGAGAGGGUGAUCGGCCACACUGGAACUGAGACACGGUCCAGACUCUACGGGAGGCAGCAGUAGGGAAUCUUCCGCAAUGGGCGAAAGNCUGACGGAGCAACGCCGCGUGAGUGAUGAAGGGUUUCGGCUCGUAAAACUCUGUUAUUAGGGAAGAACAAAUGUGUAAGUAACUGUGCACAUCUUGACGGUACCUAAUCAGAAAGCCACGGCUAACUACGUGCCAGCAGCCGCGGUAAUACGUAGGUGGCAAGCGUUAUCCGGAAUUAUUGGGCGUAAAGCGCGCGUAGGCGGUUUCUUAAGUCUGAUGUGAAAGCNCGGCUCAACCGUGGAGGGUCAUUGGAAACUGGGAAACUUGAGUGCAGAAGAGGAAAGUGGAAUUCCAUGUGUAGCGGUGAAAUGCGCAGAGAUAUGGAGGAACACCAGUGGCGAAGGCGACUUUCUGGUCUGUAACUGACGCUGAUGUGCGAAAGCGUGGGGAUCAAACAGGAUUAGAUACCCUGGUAGUCCACGCCGUAAACGAUGAGUGCUAAGUGUUAGGGGGUUUCCGCCCCUUAGUGCUGCACUGAACGCAUUAAGCACUCC